UUUUUUUUUGUCUUUUUUUUUUUGCUAUUUCUUGGGCAGCUCUCGCGGCAUAUGGAGGUUCCCAUGCUAGGGGUCGAAUCGGAGCUGCAGCCUCUGGCCUACGCCAGAGCCACAGCAACGCAGGAUCCGAGCCGCGUCUGCAACCUACACCACGGCUCACGGCAACGCCGGAUCCUUAACCCACUGAGCAAAGGCAGGGACCGAACCCGCAACCUCAUGGUUCCUAGUCGGAUUCGUUAACCACUGCGCCAUGAUGGGAACUCCCACAAAGGAAAAUUUUAACUUAAAAGAGGAAAAGGCACCACAUGCUGUUUUUAAAAGCAAACAUGCUGAAACUGCAUUAAAAUCCAAACAGGGAAGAGAGACAAUUCUGGAAGCCAUCCAUAUCCUGAGGCCCUUUCAUUUCUUACGAGUGGAAAAGGAGCAGCGGGAAGAGACCCAAAAUUCAAAUCUUAUCACUGUAUCACGUUUCCGUAUUUCUAAAUGCCUCUUCUAACAUCUCUGAUUAUUACAUUCAGCUUAAGGUGGAGCUUUUCAAAGAGGAAUGCUGGUGGUGAGAGCUCAUUUCUGCAGCUAAAGUUGAAUUUCAUAAUAAACAAGUUACUCUGUUUUAAAGUCUUUUUCAAUACACCUGACUUUUACGUUUUGAGACCUCUCCUGGCCACUCUAUAUUGUCUAGAACAGCGCUCUCCAACAGAACUUUCUGUCGUGAUGGAUGGAUCUUACAUGUGUGCGUCCAGUACAGUAAAGUCAAUAGCCACUGGGUCCUUGAAAUGUGGCUAGUGCAAGAGAGGAACCAGAAUUUUAAAAUUUUAUUUUAAUUAAUUUAAAUGGUCACAUGUAACGGUGGACAGUGGAAGUCUGGAAAUCCCGGCUAGGUUUGUAAUGGGUCUUUGGCUUCCUGUCUUGCCCCCUCUGUAGUCUAUUCCCAAUACAGUCACUAUCAUGAUCCUAAAAUGCAGAUCUCAUCCUGCCACUCCUCUGCUGCAUGGUUUUGCAUCAUCACCUGCAAUGAAAUCUCAGACCCCUACUCAGGCUUACAGGUCCCUAUAGUUUCCCCUGUGGACACCUCAACUGUGCACGCUUCCUUUCAGCCCUGACCCGCUCAACUCCAGCCACAGCGACUCAAGCCCUCACAUAUAUGUCUACACCAUUCCUGCCUCAAAUAUCCACACGGCUAAGCCUCCUCUCUUUAUUCAGCUCUUGGCCAAUUUUUUUACCUCACAGAAAGGCUCUCUUGACCACCCAGUCCCUUUCUCUCACAUCCUUACCCAGUUUUAUAAGACUUCACAGCAUUUACAGUAAUUGAAAAUAUAUUAUACACUUAAUUUUUAUUGAACGUCUCUCACAGCCUCUUUCAUGAGGACAGAAAUUCUGGUCUCUUUUGUUAACUGGUGUAUUCCCAAAUGUCUAGAAUGGUGCCUGGCUUGAAGCAGAUUUUUUUUUAUGGCCGCACUCGGGAGAUAUGGAAGUUCUGAGGCCAGGGACUGAAUCCAAGCUGCAGCUGUGACAAUGCCAGAUCCUUUAACCCACUGUGCAGGGCUGGCAUUCGAACCCACACCUCUGCAGUGACCAAAGCCACUACAGUCUGAUUCUUAACACACUGCGUCACAGCAGGAACUCCUCAAAGUAGGGCCUUAUUAAUAUUUAUUAAAUAACUGAAUAAACAAAUUCUAUUUACCAUCUCAUAUUUAUAUAAUAUUUAGUGCUCAUUAUUUCAAAGGCACUAUGAGACAACCUGGAGAAUUCAAACAGACAGCAGCCUAGACCUUAUAAAUCAGAUCAGCACAAGAAUAAUCCUUAGAGUUCCUUAAAUCUUAAAAUUUUGAGUCUAUGCCUUUAACUGAAAUAGCCAGGAAUACUUCUCUUAGAGAUCUGAGUAUAGAGCAUGCCUGUCUUCUGAUGUAAGGACAUCUGCCAUCUGGAAGGAGCAAUCUUUUUAUAGCAUACCUACCAGAAUGCAGAAUUGAGACCAAUGGGUUAAAAUCAGGUAGUCUUCAGCUCAGAAUCCAGACUUUCUAACAAUAUAGAAAAACUCUUGAGGUAAUGUCCUCAGGUGGUCAAGCAGAAGGAAAUAACUAUAUGCAGGUGUGUCGGAUUUUCCAGUGUCAGGUGCACAGGAUGGCCUUGGGUGAUCUCUAACAUGUUGUCCAAAUCUAACAUUAUAUUGUCUAUAAAAUGCGAUAAUGAAGACAAGUUAAUACAUGUGUCAUUUUCUGACAAGUUGGUUCCUGCUUGUUACAAGUAGUAAGUCUCAAGGCUGAUAGCAAAGAAUGAAAAUGACAAUCAAAGGAGAGCUACACAGAGAUUCUACUGAAUAAUUAAAAACACUUCAGGAGUUCCCGUGGUGGCACAGUGGUUAACGAAUCCGACUAGGAACCAUGAGAUUGCAGGUUCGAUCCCUGGCCUUGUUCAGUGGGCUAAGGAUCUGGCAUUGCCAUGAGCUAUGGUGUAGGUCGCAGAUGUACCUCGGAUCCUGUUACUGUGGCUGUGAUGUAGGUCGGCAGCCGUAGUCUGAUUUGACCCCUAGCUUGGGAACCUCCAUAUGCUGAGGGCCCGUCCUAAAAAAACCCCCAAAAAACCCACAAUUGUAUACAGUUGCCCCUUGAUCAACACAGAAUUUAGGGGCACUGACCUUCUGUGCAGCUGAAAAUCUGUGUAUAAUUCAGAGUUAGCCCUCCAUAUUUGUGGUUCUCCUAUAUCCAUGAAUUCAAUCGACCACAGAUCAUACAGUGCUAUAGCACUUGCUGUUGAAAAAAUCUGCAUAUAAGUAGAGCUAUGCAGUUUAAAUCUGAGUUGUUCAAGGGUCAUCUGUACUUUCAUUUCUCCCCUCCUAAUCUCUGUGCCAAUGGCAUGCACUUUAUUUUUAUGUGUUAUAAUUUUCAUACUAUAUUGUUAGUUUUGUUUAAAAUUAUUUUUUAAAAAAGAAAAAGUCACAGAACUAGAACAAACAAUCCAAACAUUUAUAUGGCACCAUAAAACACCCAGAAUUGCCAAAGCAAUCCAGAGGAACAAAACCCAAGCAGGAGCCAAAACUCUCCCAGACUUCAGGCAACGUUACAAAGCCACAGUAAUGAAGACAGUGUGGUACUGGUAUCAAAACAGACAGAGACCAAUGGAACAGAAUAGAGAAUCCAGAAAUAAACCCAGACACCUACGGUCAAUUCAUCUUCGACAAAGGAGGCAAGAAUAUAAAAUGAGAAAAAGACAGUCUUUUUAGCAAGUGGUGUUGGGAAAAUUGGAUAGCCACAUGUAAAUCAAUGAAACUAGAACACACCCUCA
rnacentral:lncRNA from 1 species